CGGCGGACGGGUGAGUAACACGUGGAUAACCUACCUAUAAGACUGGGAUAACUUCGGGAAACCGGAGCUAAUACCGGAUAAUAUAUUGAACCGCAUGGUUCAAUAGUGAAAGACGGUUUUGCUGUCACUUAUAGAUGGAUCCGCGCCGCAUUAGCUAGUUGGUAAGGUAACGGCUUACCAAGGCAACGAUGCGUAGCCGACCUGAGAGGGUGAUCGGCCACACUGGAACUGAGACACGGUCCAGACUCCUACGGGAGGCAGCAGUU
rnacentral:rRNA from 1 species